UUAAAUACUUCACUUAAAAAUAAUUAAUACUUGGAAUGAUACAGAGAAGAUUAGCAUGAGCCCCUGUGUAAGGAUGACAGGAAAAAAAAUACUGUGUUUUAAAUGUUU
ensembl:snRNA U6 U6 spliceosomal RNA